rnacentral:rRNA from 1 species
GGUUGCGAUCAUACCAUCACUAAUGCACCCGAUCCCAUCAGAACUCCGCAGUUAAGCGUGCUUGGGCGAGAGUAGUACUAGGAUGGGUGACCCCCUGGGAAGUCCUCGUGUUGCUACCA